UAGAGAGCGCGGUGGAACUCGCUGCUUAGUGUGACUGAGGCAUGGGAACUGCGUGGGACUUCUGGACCAUCUCUGGCUCCAAGAGGAUCUGCUCCUACGUGGCCUCCACUGAUGUUGAAGUAAAUUGAAGGAUGAACAGCAUCUUGGAUGAAAAAUCAUGAUCCAGCAUUCCAGUGGCUCAGUGUUGAGGACUCAGCAAAUGGAAAAGACCAAUGGGACACCCAUGUUUCACCUGAGAAACUUCAUAGCACAAAGAUCGCUACCUUCAGGAGGUGGGAUGGAC